GCGAGAGUUGCCGAGUGGUCAAAGGCGCUGGAUUUAGGGUCCAGUCUUUAGUAGUUCGCAGGUUCGACUCCUGCCUCUCGCA
rfam:Methanoplanus limicola DSM 2279 chromosome, whole genome shotgun sequence.